CACUAUGCUUAGCCGUAAACAUAGAUAGAAUUUCACAUCUCUAUCCGCCCGGGUACUACGAGCAUUAGCUUGAAACCCAAAGGACUUGGCGGUGCCUUAGACCCAUCUAGAGGAGCCUGUCCUAGGACCGAUAAUCCCCGUUCAACCUCACCCUUCCUUGUUUAUCCCGCCUAUAUACCGCCGUUCGCAAGCUUACCCUGUGAAGGCCCAGUAGUGAGCCCAAUUGCACAGCCCAGAACGUCAGGUCGAGGUGUAGCUUAUGGAAGGGCAAGAGAUGGGCUACAUUCCCUCCGCAGGGUACACGAAUAAUGCAUUGAAACAUGUAUUUGAAGGUGGAUUUAGUAGUAAGCAGCAAAUA
rnacentral:rRNA from 1 species